rnacentral:rRNA from 1 species
UACAGAGGGUGCAAGCGUUGUUCGGAAUUAUUGGGCGUAAAGAGCGCGCAGGCGGUCGUUCAAGUCGAGUGUGAAAGCCCCCGGCUCAACUGGGGAGGGUCAUUCGAUACUGAUCGACUCGAAGGCAGGAGAGGGUAGUGGAAUUCCCGGUGUAGUGGUGAAAUGCGUAGAUAUCAGGAGGAACACCCGUGGCGAAAGCGGCUCUCUGGGACGGUACUGACGCUGAGACGCGAAAGCGUGGGGAGCAAACAGG